GAACGCUGGCGGCGUGCUUAACACAUGCAAGUCGAACGGAAAGGCCCUGCUUUUGUGGGGUGCUCGAGUGGCGAACGGGUGCGUAACACGUGAGUAACCUGCCCUUGACUUUGGGAUAACUUCAGGAAACUGGGGCUAAUACCGGAUAGGAGCUCCUGCUGCAUGGUGGGGGUUGGAAAGUUUCGGCGGUUGGGGAUGGACUCGCGGCUUAUCAGCUUGUUGGUGGGGUAGUGGCUUACCAAGGCUUUGACGGGUAGCCGGCCUGAGAGGGUGACCGGCCACAUUGGGACUGAGAUACGGCUCAGACUCCUACGGGAGGCAGCAGUGGGGAAUAUUGCACAAUGGGCGGAAGCCUGAUGCAGCAACGCCGCGUGCGGGAUGACGGCCUUCGGGUUGUAAACCGCUUUCGCCUGUGACGAAGCGUGAGUGACGGUAAUGGGUAAAGAAGCACCGGCUAACUACGUG
rnacentral:rRNA from 1 species